UUCCCAGUCUGUGCACACAACCAGGGUUGCCCCAUCCCAGGUGCAGAAUCCAGCACUUGCCCUUGUUAAACUUCACAUGGUUGGUGACUGCCCAUCUCUCAUUUGUCAAGGUCUCCCUGCAGGGCUUCCCUGCCCUGGAGGGAGUCAACAGCUCCCCCCAGUUCAGUGUCACUGGCAAAUGUACUUAGUAUUCCUUCCAGUCCAAGGCAUUAAUGAAGAUGUUGAAGAGAACUGGGCCAAGGAUGGAGCCCUGCAGAACCCCACUAGUGACCAGAUACCAACCUGAUGUCAAUCACUACAAGUGUUUACGCCUGACCUGUGAACAAGUUGCUCACCCAUUGCAUAAUAUGGUUAUCCAGCUGUGGGCUGGACAUCUUGUCCAGAAGAAUCCUGUGAGAGACAGUAUCAAAAGCUUUGCUGAUGUCCAAAAAGACUACGUCUGCUGGCUUUCCUAGGUGAACUAGGUACUGAAGUGAGGCUGACAGGCCUGUAGUUUCUGGGGUCCUCCUUCUUUCCCUUCUUAAAAAUCGGGACAAUGUUCACCAGCUUCCAGUCUGCUGAGACCUCUCCAGAUUUCCAGGACUGCUCAAAAAUCAUCGAGAGAGGCUUUGCAAUGACAUCAGCUAGUUCUUUGAGGAUUCUCAGAUGAAUCCCAUCAGGCCCCAUAAUAACACGUGACAAAAUUAUUUCAUCUGUGGCCAGCGCCCACAGGUCCUUGCACCAUCCAGCUGUGGCGUGUUGUGCAACAGAGCCAAUUAAUCAGCCUUGUGCUGUUUGGGA